GCCUACACAUGCAAGUCGAGCGGUAGCACAGAGAGCUUGCUCUCGGGUGACGAGCGGCGGACGGGUGAGUAAUGUCUGGGAAACUGCCUGAUGGAGGGGGAUAACUACUGGAAACGGUAGCUAAUACCGCAUAANGUCGCAAGACCAAAGUGGGGGACCUUCGGGCCUCAUGCCAUCAGAUGUGCCCAGAUGGGAUUAGCUAGUAGGUGAGGUAAUGGCUCACCUAGGCGACGAUCCCUAGCUGGUCUGAGAGGAUGACCAGCCACACUGGAACUGAGACACGGUCCAGACUCCUACGGGAGGCAGCAGUGGGGAAUAUUGCACAAUGGGCGCAAGCCUGAUGCAGCCAUGCCGCGUGUAUGAAGAAGGCCUUCGGGUUGUAAAGUACUUUNAGCGAGGAGGAAGGCGUUAAGGUUAAUAACC
rnacentral:rRNA from 1 species